rnacentral:rRNA from 1 species
AUUGAACGCUGGCGGCAUGCCUUACACAUGCAAGUCGAACGGCAGCACGGAGCUUGCUCUGGUGGCGAGUGGCGAACGGGUGAGUAAUAUAUCGGAACGUACCCAAGAGUGGGGGAUAACGUAGCGAAAGUUACGCUAAUACCGCAUACGAUCUAAGGAUGAAAGCAGGGGAUCGCAAGACCUUGUGCUCCUGGAGCGGCCGAUAUCUGAUUAGCUAGUUGGUGAGGUAAAGGCUCACCAAGGCAUCGAUCAGUAGCUGGUCUGAGAGGACGACCAGCCACACUGGAACUGAGACACGGUCCAGACUCCUACGGGAGGCGGCAGUGGGGAAUUUUGGACAAUGGGGGCAACCCUGAUCCAGCAAUGCCGCGUGAGUGAAGAAGGCCUUCGGGUUGUAAAGCUCUUUUGUCAGGGAAGAAACGGUGAAGGCUAAUAUCCUUUGCUAAUGACGGUACCUGAAGAAUAAGCACCGGCUAACUACGUGCCAGCAGCCGCCGUAAUAC